GGAGGCCUACACACUAGCAAGUCGAGCGGAAACGGCAGUAUUGAAGCUUCGGUGGAUUUACUGGACGUCGAGCGGCGGACGGGUGAGUAACGGCUGGGAACCUGCCCUGACGAGGGGGAUAACCGUUGGAAACGACGGCUAAUACCGCAUAAUGUCUACGGACCAAAGGUGGCCUCUACAUGUAAGCUAUCGCGUUGGGAUGGGCCCAGUUAGGAUUAGCUAGUUGGUAAGGUAAUGGCUUACCAAGGCGACGAUCCUUAGCUGGUUUGAGAGGAUGAUCAGCCACACUGGGACUGAGACACGGCCCAGACUCCUACGGGAGGCAGCAGUGGGGAAUAUUGCACAAUGGGGGAGACCCUGAUGCAGCCAUGCCGCGUGUGUGAAGAAGGCCUUCGGGUUGUAAAGCACUUUCAGCAGUGAGGAAGGUGGUGUACUUAAUAAGUGCAUGGCUUGACGUUAGCUGCAGAAGAAGCACCGGCUAACUCCGUGCCAGCAGCCGCGGUAAUACGGAGGGUGCGAGCGUUAAUCGGAAUUACUGGGCGUAAAGCGCAUGCAGGCGGUUUGUUAAGUCAGAUGUGAAAGCCCGGGGCUCAACCUCGGAACCGCAUUUGAAACUGGCAGGCUAGAGUCUUGUAGAGGGGGGUAGAAUUUCAGGUGUAGCGGUGAAAUGCGUAGAGAUCUGAAGGAAUACCAGUGGCGAAGGCGGCCCCCUGGACAAAGACUGACGCUCAGAUGCGAAAGCGUGGGUAGCAAACAGGAUUAGAUACCCUGGUAGUCCACGCCGUAAACGCUGUCUACUU
rnacentral:rRNA from 1 species